CGAAGUUUAACGGGCACAGGCCAAUUAAAGGCUUUAUCUGCCUAAAUUUAUUUUCUGGUUUUCGAAGAGAGAGAAAAGCCAAGCCUGUAGGUAGAGAGAGAGUGAGAGAGAGAAUUUCUCUCUGACUCAUUAGUUGGUUGAAGGUGUUCUGAUUAUCCGCAAUCAGAACUAUAGAGUAGAGCACCUGGUUCUGAUGCUAUGAUUUUGUGAUUGAUUAUUUGAGAUCAAUAAUGGAUUCUGCGAGAAGUUGGUUUCAUAGAUUGCGACAUAAGGAGGAAAAGUUGAAACCUGGUCCCACAAAAAAGACAGAAAUGGAGAACACAAUGAAGUCAUCGUUUGAUGAUGCACCCUCAAAUGUCACCAAACAGAAGGUUGCUGCAGCAAAGCAAUAUAUUGAGAAUCAUUACAAAUCUCAAAUGAAGUCUUUGCAAGAUAGGAAAGAGAGACGAUGGAUCCUGGAGAAGAAUCUCGCUGAUGCUGAUGUUCCUGCAGAAGAGCAAGUUAAUCUUCUAAAAUAUUUAGAGAGAAAGGAAACAGAAUACAUGCGACUUCAAAGACACAAGAUGAGUGUUGAUGAUUUUGAGCUUUUGACCAUCAUAGGAAGGGGUGCAUUUGGGGAGGUGAGACUUUGCAGAGAAAAGAGUAGUGGCGUUGUUUAUGCCAUGAAAAAGCUAAAGAAAUCAGAGAUGCUACGUAGAGGCCAGGUGGAACAUGUUAAAGCUGAAAGGAAUCUUCUUGCCGAGGUUGACAGUGACUGCAUUGUUAAACUGUACUGCUCCUUUCAAGAUGAUGAGUUCUUGUAUCUUAUAAUGGAAUAUCUUCCGGGGGGUGACAUGAUGACGUUACUAAUGCGCAAGGAUACUUUGACUGAGGAUGAGGCCAGGUUUUAUGUUGGCCAGACAGUCCUUGCCAUCGAGUCCAUUCACAAGCACAACUACAUUCAUAGGGAUAUUAAGCCUGACAAUUUGUUACUGGAUCGCAAUGGCCACAUGAAGCUUUCAGAUUUUGGGUUGUGUAAACCCUUGGACAGCAGUAGCUUUCCAGAUCUAACUGAGAAUGAUUAUGGAGGAGGAAGGAAUUUGAAAUCUCCAUCAGGGGAUGCUAAGAAUUCUAACCAGCCAUCAACACCGAAGAGGACGCAGCAGGAACAGUUGUUACACUGGCAAAAGAACAGAAGAAUGUUGGCUUAUUCAACAGUAGGAACUCCUGACUAUAUUGCCCCAGAAGUCUUGCUAAAGAAGGGUUAUGGGAUGGAAUGUGACUGGUGGUCCCUUGGGGCAAUCAUGUACGAAAUGCUUGUGGGUUAUCCACCUUUCUAUUCUGAAGAACCAAUGUCAACAUGCAGAAAGAUUGUAAACUGGAGAGCUCACCUAAAAUUCCCGGACGAAGCAAGGUUGUCUGUUGAGGCCAAAGAUCUCAUAAAGAAACUCUUGUGCAAUGUUGAGCAGAGGCUUGGUACCAAGGGAGCUCAUGAAAUUAAGGCACACCCAUGGUUUAGAGGGAUCAGAUGGGACACAUUGUAUCAGACUGAUGCCGCUUUUAUACCAGAGGUUAAAGAUGAAUUAGAUACUCAGAAUUUUGAGAAGUUUGAAGAGUCAGAGCCUGUAAUUCCGACUUCAUCAAAAGCGGGUCCUUGGAGGAAGAUGCUUCCGUCCAGGGAUGCAAAUUUUGUUGGUUACACAUACAAAAAUUUUGAAAUCGUCAAUGAGCAUAGCGUUCCUGGCAUUGCUGAGUUAAAGAAAAAGACGAACAAGCCAAAGAGACCAUCAAUCAAGACAUUAUUCGAGGCGCCUGAACCUCCUGAUGAGGUCUCCGAAAGUCCUGAUCCACCCCGGCGCUUCUCUAGGCCUCCACAAAGUCAAAAUAACCCUCAAAGAAGACGAUGACUCCCUACAAUUUUAACAGAAGACGCAGAAAUGAAAAGAACAAGAAGCUAAGAGGAAACAGAUCCAAAGGGUGUUUUUUCUUUUUUCUAUGUUUAGGAACUAAUCCCCUAUUAUUUUCUAUCAAAGGCGGAGUUCUAGCUAGCUAGAUGGAUUUCCAGGGCAUUGUGGGGAUAGUGAUUUCAACAAGAUGAAGCCAUGCGGAUAAAGUUACUUGGUAGGAUGUGCAGCUGCAUGCAUGCAUAAAUGCAUUGAUUGGCAAGGACGUAUGGUUUACGGACUUAUGUUACGGCACCGGGUUGGGUGUCGUAGAAUGCUGCAGUUGGUGCAGUAUUGUGCACUGGUUUAUCUGUUUCUGUAUAACUCGGAAGAAUAAUGAUUUGGCCGAGUCCAUUGUUCUCUCUAGGCACCUUAAAUCAUUUGAAGAGGGAGUCAUGUGGCUCUCACGGGCAUAGGCUAAGGGUUGGGACUGUAUAUAUGUUGGUUUCAAAGAGCUAUGAGUUUAGUUAUUAUAUAGUUAGUGUAGGUUUCGCGUAUAAAUCUUGUCGUUAGAUUUCGUGAUUUAACUCCCCUAUAGAAAUAUUGGCGCUGAAUUGCGGGCCUUGAGAUGAGAAGUUUUACCUUUUAGCCCCAAAGAAGCGGCCAUGUGUUACUCUCUAGGCAACUUAAAUCAUAUAUUUAUGUGCAUCCCAUUGCCAGCCUAGGAGCCUGUUUGAUACUUUUAAUUAAUUGCAUAAAUUCAUACAUAUAUGUACAACGUUUAUAUACAAUUUUAAUUCUCA